ACCUGGCUGGCUCAGUUGGUAGAGCAUGCAACUCUUGAUCUCAGGGUUGAGUUCAAGCCUCAGGUUGGGUA
rnacentral:tRNA from 1 species